AACAUCGACUCCUAGCAAAGCCAAACAUGCACAACCACCACAGCUGCCGGUGUCUAGCCUUACUGAGGAGUCUGACCGUGAUAGGGAUGACUUUACAGUCCUAGGUGUACAACAGCUGGAUGCACAAGAAGUGGGUGUGCUAGAAGCAAGCAUGCACUCCAUGAGUAUUGCAGAGGAGGAGUGUGACAGUCCAGAUGAAGCAAGGAACGAUUUGAGAAAUAGCAC